UACGGAGGAUGCAAGCGUUAUCCGGAUUUAUUGGGUUUAAAGGGUGCGCAGGCGGCGAAUUAAGUCAGUGGUGAAAUCUCAUAGCUUAACUAUGGAACUGCCAUUGAUACUGGUUUGCUAGAGUACAGACGACGUUGGCGGAAUGCGACAUGUAGCGGUGAAAUGCUUAGAGAUGUCGCAGAACACCGAUUGCGAAGGCAGCUAACGAGGAUGUUACUGACGCUCAUGCACGAAAGCGUGGGGAUCAAACAGGAUUAGAUACCCUGGUAGUCCACGCCCUAAACGAUGAUCACUCGUUGUUAGACAUUUAUGUUUAGUGGCUAAGGGAAACCGAUAAGUGAUCCACCUGGGGAGUACGAUCGCAAGGUUGAA
rnacentral:rRNA from 1 species